GAUGAAGAACGUAGCGAAAUGCGAUAAGUAAUGCGAAUUGCAGAAUUUCCGUGAGUCAUCGAAUCUUUGAACGCACAUUGCGCCCACUGGUAUUCCGGUGGGCAUGCCUGUUCGAGCGUCAUUAUCCUCCCUCAAACCCCGGGUUUGGUGUUGGACCCAAGUUGUGUGAACAACUGGUCUUAAAGACAAUGACGGCGUCCGUGGGACCCUCGGUGCAACGAGCUUUUAGGAGCACGCAUCGAGUUGCAAGGACCUUCCGGGCCGGUCUCCUUUACUAUUUUACAAGGUUGACCUCGGAUCAGGUAGGAAUACCCGCUGAACUUAAGCAUACCAAUAAGCGGAGGA
rnacentral:misc_RNA from 1 species